rnacentral:rRNA from 1 species
UACAGAGGGGGCAAGCGUUAUUCGGAAUUAUUGGGCGUAAAGGGUGCGUAGGCGGCGCGGUAAGUCGGGUGUGAAAUCUCGGAGCUUAACUCCGAAACUGCAUUCGAUACUGCCGUGCUUGAGGACUGGAGAGGAGACUGGAAUUUACGGUGUAGCGGUGAAAUGCGUAGAUAUCGUAAGGAAGACCAGUGGCGAAGGCGGGUCUCUGGACAGUUCCUGACGCUGAGGCACGAAGGCUAGGGGAGCAAACGGG